UGGAUUUAAGUGAGGGAUGGCUGUGCAAAGUUACCAGCCUCACUUUCUCCUCCAGAGCCAUCUGGGUCUAGUCGCCACAUAUAGAUCAGGAUGCCUGGAGAUGGUACUAGAUGACAGUGGGAGAUUGUGGACUUUUUCAGUGUUAUUUAUAGGCAAUAAGGAAUGAACUAGUAUAUAAGGAGAGAUUGAAGAUGAUCAAAGGAGAAGAUAAAGGCAAAAGAAACUUUCUAGAGAAGGCAGAAGAAAAUAAGAUCAAAAGUAUAAGUAAAAGAGUUGGCCUUGGUGAGCAGAAGGGCUGUAUCUUCAUCAGAUAUUAGAGUGAGGAGACAAUUGGGUAUGACAUCAAAGGAUUUGAGAAGUAGAUUUAGAGAAAAGAGAAAAUUCAGGGGAAAUUUUUGUUUGUUUGUUUUUGUCAUUGUUUUUUCUCCAUACAGUAUGAGGUCUUCUCUUAAGAGAGUGGGAAAGGGGAAAGGAGUAGACUCAAAGAGAGAAAUGAAAGUUUGGAACGUUGUGGAGAGUGAGAUAGAGAAUUACUUUGGGAGUUGUAAAAUUAUUACCUCAUUACAGUGAGAAUCCAGGCGAAUAACUAAUUUGUAAUGUACUUAGCCAGCAUGGAUGCAUGACUUCCUCCAGCCCUGUUAAGUAACACAUACGUAAAAGCAGAGGAGGUAGAUGGUGUAAAUAAUCCAGGGCUGGGAUUUGGGGAACUGUGAGCAAUGACAGGAUAAGAUGAUGAGAGAUUUGAGAGCACAGUAUGGUGUAAUAUUGAACUGGUUAGCUAUGAGAUCAACUCUGGAAAGGGAAAAAAGUAAAACUGGAUUGGGGUGCUGGCCUGUAAGAGAGCUGAAGGAUAGAGGGACUGAAUGAAGAUCACAGAGAAGAUAGAGAAUCUGAAAGAAUUUGAGGGAACAUCAAAAUGGAAGGAUUUGGAGAGGAUGAAACAGUCAACUAGACUGGACAUCAAAUGAGAUAUUGGGGAUACAUCUGUACUCUGCACAUUCUAAGCCCUGCCUGGUCCUCAGAGUUUUUUUUUUUGGAGGGGGGAGAAAAGGAGAAGAUACUCAAUCUUCACAGAUAAGAACCAGGCAGAACAAGAGGGAGUCUACCUUGUUUUCCCACAGAAAGUCAUCCUUAAAGAAAGACAAGGAGCAAGUAUGGAAGCAGCAGAUUUGACAAAGCACUGUAUGGGACCGAGGCAAUUAUCUGUAUUAUUCAAGCAGAAGAUGAGGAACCUGGAAAUACUAAUAUAUACUUUUGGAUGAGGAAACUGAGGUUGAGAGAGUUUAAGUGACUUGUCCAGGAUCCCACAGCUAUCUUAGACUUAGAAGCACUUUGCAUUGCCCUCCAAGUUUUCUGAAGGCCCUUUAGUUGAAGAUCUUUCUCCACUUCCUCCCUUCAUUAUUCUUGAUAAAGACUGCUGAUUUUAAGUGUCCUCCCAUAGGGAAUAAAUGAAGAAAGGAAAGAGGUGCUACUGAUGUGGGAUGGGCAGUACAAAGGAAGCAACCUUUUAAAAUCUUGUUUUACCUUUAUAACUGUCAAU